rnacentral:misc_RNA from 1 species
UGAUGUUAUGGAAGGGGAUGGAAGUGGAUGGAAGUGGAGUAGUAGAUGAAAUAAUCCAUGCUAUUGAGGGUAGACAAGGGAUAAAAACUAUAAGAGUGUUAGGAAUGCAUAAGAACAGGGAGUUAUUGAUCUUAAUUUAUUCUGGCAGCACCCAUAGUUUCUCAGAUGUGAAAGUAGCAAGGGAAUUAAAGGUGCCUGUGGUGGAUGUGAUUGCAUUUGCAAUAACAGUAGCUGAUGGAAGAAGAA